AACGAACGCUGGCGGCAUGCCUAACACAUGCAAGUCGAACGGAAAGGCCGUGCUUGCUUGGGGUGCUCGAGGGGCGAAGGGGUGAGUUACCCGUGAGUAAGCUGCCCUUGACUGUAGGAUGUCCUCAGACAGGCGGGGCUAAUGCAGGCGAGGAGCUCCUGCUGCUGGGUGGGCGUUGGAAAGCUUCGGCGGUUGGGGAUGGACUGGCGGCUCAUCAGCUUGUUGGUGGGGUAGUGGCUUAGCAAGGCUUUGGCGGGUAGCCGGCCUGGGAGGGGAAACGGCCACAUUGGUACUGAGAUACGGCCCAGACUCGUACGGGAGGCAGCGGUGGAGAGUAUUACACAAUGGGCGGGAGCCUGAUGCGACAACGCCGCGUGGGGGAAGACGGCCAUGGGGUUGGGAAGCGCAUUCGCCUGUGACGAAGCGUGAGUGACGGUACUGGGUGAAGAAGCACCGGCUAACUACGUG
rnacentral:rRNA from 1 species